AUUGAACGCUGGCGGUAUGCCUUACACAUGCAAGUCGAACGGUAGAGGGGCAACCCUUGAGAGUGGCGAACGGGUGAGUAAUACAUCGGAACGUGCCCAGUCGUGGGGGAUAACGUAGCGAAAGCUACGCUAAUACCGCAUACGACCCGAGGGUGAAAGCGGGGGACUCGCAAGGGCCUCGCGCGAUUGGAGCGGCCGAUGGCAGAUUAGGUAGUUGGUGGGGUAAAGGCCCACCAAGCCUGCGAUCUGUAGCUGGUCUGAGAGGACGACCAGCAACACUGGGACUUGGACACGGCCCAGACUCCUACGGGAGGCAGCAGUGGGUAAUUUUGGGCAAUGGGCGAAAGCCUGAUCCAGCCAUACCGCGUGCGGGAAGAAGGCCUUCGGGUUGUAAACCGCUUUUGUCAGGGAAGAAAUCUUCUGGGUUAAUACCUCGGGAGGAUGACGGUACCUGAAGAAUAAGCACCGGCUAACUACGUGCCAGCCGCCGCAGUAAGAC
rnacentral:rRNA from 1 species